UACAGAGGUGUCAAGCGUUGCUCGGUGUCACUGGGCUUAAAGGGCGCGUAGGCUGUGCAGUACGGCUCGGGUGAAAUCCCUCGGCCCAACCGAGGAACUGCCCGGGCGACGGCUGUGCUAGACUGCAUCAGGGGCGGAUGGAACUCCCGGUGGAGCGGUGAAAUGCGUAGAUAUCGGGAGGAACGCCGGUGGCGAAAGCGAUCCGCUGGGGUGCAUGUGACGCUGAGGCGCGAAAGCCAGGGGAGCAAACGGG
rnacentral:rRNA from 1 species